GACGAACCGUGCGAACGUUGUUCGGAAUCACUGGGCUUAAAGGGCGCGUAGGUGGUCUGUCAAGUCGGGGGUGAAAUCUUUCGGCUCAACCGGAAAACUGCCUUCGAUACUGACAGGCUGGAGGGAGGUAGGGGUUGCGGGAACUACCAGUGGAGCGGUGAAAUGCGUUGAUAUUGGUAGGAACGCCGGUGGCGAAAGCGCGCAACUGGACCUUUUCUGACACUGAGGCGCGAAAGCUAGGGGAGCAAACGGG
rnacentral:rRNA from 2 species